rnacentral:lncRNA from 1 species
CCUCGUCCCUGCCGGGCCCGGCUGCCGCAGGUGCGUGGGCGAGCGAGGCGGCUGCGUCCGCGGGCCCCGGCGUGGGGUCGGGGGUUGAGUGGGCACGUGGUUCUUUCUGGGGUGACGAGAAGGUCCUACCGUCGUGGGGAUGGUCCUGCCUCUCUCGGUGAAGUUACUCACUCGGAACGGGUGAGCUUUGUGAUACGUGCUCUGCGUUCAGUAGCGCUGUUACAGUCGUAAGUAAAAGCAGUAACGUCAGCGCCGACCCAGCGCAGCCCUCUCCAGACCGGGUGCGGAGCCCGUCACGUCUGCCCCGCCGGCGAGGAGCAGAGCCCGGCAAGAACCCUCCUCCAGAGGGGCCCCGACCAGGGCUGUGCCUCCGGGAGCAGGUGCUGCUUACACAGAGGGACGCCAGGACGGGCAGCCCCACACCUCCAGUGACCUCCCGUCCCCCAGAGCUGAAGACAUGGCCUGACUAAGCGGCGACCACAUCGACGCACCAGUUUUUUCUUUUUUGAAACAGGGUCUCCCUUUGUCGCCCAGGCUGCAGUGCAGUAGCGCGAUCUCGGCUCACUGCAGCCUCUACCUCCCCGGCACAAGCGAUCCUCCAGCCUCAGCCUCCCGAGUAGCUGGGACUACAGGCGCCACCAUGCCCGGCUACCUUUUGUAUUUUUUGUAGAGAUGGCGCCUUGCCAAGUUCCCCAGGCAUUAACCCGGAAACAACCUGGCGGGUCAGGGAGAGCCUCUUCUGCUCAGAGGUCAUUGUGCCCAGACUUGAGCCCUGGCUGUGAAGUCCCUGAGGCCCCUCACUCCAGGGACGGGAAGCACCAAAGAUGUGAUGUUUCCUCCUCGGUUUCUGAGACUGCCUGGAAGCGGGGGGUGGAUAGUGGUGAGCAGCCGUCUCCUCCUUUCCUGAGAACAUAAAUCAGAAACGCUUUCUGAGGCCGGGCACGGUGGGUCAUGCCUGUAAUCCCAGCACUUUGGGAGGCUGAGGUGGGUGGAUCACCUGAGGUCAGGACCAGCUUGGCCAACAUCGUGAUAACCCCCUCUCCACUGAAAAUACAAAAAUGAGCCAGGCAUGUUGGUACGUGCCUGUAAUCCCAGCUACUUAGGAGGCUGAGGCAGAAGAAUUGCUUAAACUCGGGAAACGGAGGUUGCAGUGAGCUGAGAUUGUGCCACUGCACUCCAGCCUGGGCUACAGAGUGAGACUCUUGUCUCAGGAAAAAAAAAAAAAAAAAAGUGCCUCAAAAAUAAACAAUUAAAAAUGUUCUUAUGGUCUUCACAAAAAUAAACUUUUUUAAAAA